AACGAACUCUGGCGGCAUGCCUAACACAUGCAAGCCGAACGAGACCUUCGGGUCUAGUGGCGCACGGGUGAGUAACGCGUGGGAAUCUACCCUUGGGUUCGGAAUAACAGUUAGAAAUGACUGCUAAUACCGGAUGAUGACGUAAGUCCAAAGAUUUAUCGCCCAAGGAUGAGCCCGCGUAAGAUUAGCUUGUUGGUGGGGUAAUGGCCUACCAAGGCGACGAUCUUUAGCUGGUCUGAGAGGAUGAUCAGCCACACUGGGACUGAGACACGGCCCAGACUCCUACGGGAGGCAGCAGUGGGGAAUAUUGGACAAUGGGCGAAAGCCUGAUCCAGCAAUGCCGCGUGAGUGAUGAAGGCCUUAGGGUUGUAAAGCUCUUUUACCAGGGAUGAUAAUGACAGUACCUGGAGAAUAAGCUCCGGCUAACUCCGUGCCAGCCGCCGCGGUAA
rnacentral:rRNA from 1 species